rnacentral:rRNA from 1 species
AGAGUUUGAUCAUGGCUCAGAUUGAACGCUGGCGGCAGGCUUAACACAUGCAAGUCGAGCGGGGAGGGGUAGCUUGCUACCUGACCUAGCGGCGGACGGGUGAGUAAUGCUUAGGAAUCUGCCUAUUAGUGGGGGACAACAUUCCGAAAGGAAUGCUAAUACCGCAUACGCCCUACGGGGGAAAGCAGGGGAUCUUCGGACCUUGCGCUAAUAGAUGAGCCUAAGUCAGAUUAGCUAGUUGGUGGGGUAAAGGCCUACCAAGGCGACGAUCUGUAGCGGGUCUGAGAGGAUGAUCCGCCACACUGGGACUGAGACACGGCCCAGACUCCUACGGGAGGCAGCAGUGGGGAAUAUUGGACAAUGGGCGAAAGCCUGAUCCAGCCAUGGCCGCGUGUGUGAAGAAGGCCUUUUGGUUGUAAAGCACUUUAAGCGAGGAGGAGGCUACCGAGAUUAAUACUCUAGGAUAGUGGACGUUACUCGCAGAAUAAGCACCGGCUAACUCUGUGCCAGCAGCCGCGGUAAUACAGAGGGUGCGAGCGUUAAUCGGAUUUACUGGGCGUAAAGCGUGCGUAGGCGGCUUUUUAAGUCGGAUGUGAAAUCCCUGAGCUUAACUUAGGAAUUGCAUUCGAUACUGGGAAGCUAGAGUAUGGGAGAGGAUGGUAGAAUUCCAGGUGUAGCGGUGAAAUGCGUAGAGAUCUGGAGGAAUACCGAUGGCGAAGGCAGCCAUCUGGCCUAAUACUGACGCUGAGGUACGAAAGC